rnacentral:lncRNA from 1 species
GGACCACACCUGUAAAGAUACUAUUGGACAUACACAUACCAUUUUCAACAUACAGAUAGCAUGGCAUUAAAAUUAUAACAAAUUCAGUGCUAAAAAUAUUUAUUAUAAUAAAUUUCACUUAAUUCAAUAACAGGAUGUAAAAAUAUAUCAUAUCACAAGUAAAAAAAAGGGGGGAUUGACUACCCAUAAGGUAAAAUUUAUGUUAGAUCAAAUACAUCUAUUCUCUGGUUCUCUCUUUUUUUCUUAGAUAGAAAAUUGAACAUUGAGUUUUGAUCUGUACUUUUUCAGUUUCCUCUCCUGAAUAAAUGGAAGAAUUAAAAAAAAAAACAACAUUACUAUCUUUUUCUUCAAUGAAUAAAAAUAAAAACAUAAAUUCAUUUUUUCAAAUUAGUUCAACAAGUUUUCAGACUGAUUUAAAUUUUGUUUGCAAGGCUAUAUAGAAAUGAGGGAUACCCAUAUAUUUUUUGGAAUCCUGGUUAUCAAAACAGAAAGGAAAAAAUAUACAUGUAGAGUGACAUACAGGUACAAGAUUGUAAUGGAAAAGAAAAAUUCAC